rnacentral:snRNA from 1 species
GUGCUCGCUUCGGCAGCACAUAUACUAAAAUUGGAGUGAUACAGAGAAGAUUAUCAUGGCGCCUGCACAAGGAUAACAUGCAAAUUCAUGAAUCAUUCCAUAUUUUU